UCACGCUCGCUUGACGUGAACCGACGUUUGCAAGUUCGCUGCGACUAGAAUUGUUUACAAAAAUAAAGUUUGCUUAAAACAUCAAUUAUUUUAACUUUCGAAGUGUAACUAGUUUAUAGCUGGUGAGUCGGCGGUGCUGAAAAUUUUUAUUCGAGGACACCCGAUGGACUAAAGCCGCGGUCAUGGGGACUUGCUGUAGCAAGGAGAUGCCGCGGACGGACGCGUAUGCACCGUCAACGGGGCCCGGCUCGUCCACCGCUCGGGCAUCGGAGCCCCGUGUUUCUGUGACCAAGGUGGAGCCCAGGAUCGUCGAUGAACUGGUUCUAGAGCUGCUGUCGUUGAUAGGGACGUUUGUUGACAAUGAAGAAGAAUCGCCCCUUUCGUUAGUCAAACUACAUGUUAUUGCCGAUAAAGAGGAAGGAUGGUUCCAAGUGGUUUCCUCGUUGAUCAAAAAGAUUCCACUGGAAAAUCCUUUGGGACCUUCCGCCAUUACCAUUGCAUUUGACGAUUGCCCACUGCCGUCUAAGGAGCAAGUGAUAAAGUUGAUGGAAAUGCUAGGACUGUCGGCUAUGCGGGCACUGUCGGGAGAUAUCAAUGUGCAAGUGGAGCGCAAUAUAUGCGUCAUCCUAGGAUGCAUUGCCGACAAGUUAGCUGGGCCUAACAGCAUAGCCGUGCUUACUGAAGAAACCCUUGACUAUAUGCUGUCUUUCGUGAUGUUCCGUCGUGAACCGCGCAUAGUGCUGUACGCUUUAAUAGCGCUGGAGAAGUUCGCUCACACCACUGAGAACAAGCUGACUAUCAAGGCAAGACUUGACGCUGAGGUGGACAAUCCGCUGAUGAAUUUGGAGCAACAUGCCGAAAGCGCCGACUUCACUUGGCGCCAGGUCGGCUUCUGCGCCAAGUGGGCGCUUGACAAUCUAUUUACGGUACCCGGCCGUCCUCUGAGUUACGAAACGGCGGACAUGUCAGAUAUUAACGCCAUUUUGAAUACGCAAGACGUGAGCGAGUACUUAAAGAUCUCGUGCGACGGCUUGGAGGCCCGAUGUGACUCGUACUCCUUCGAGAGUGUUCGAUGCACCUUCCCGGUGAACUUCGGAGUAUGGUAUUACGAAUGUACCAUUAUAACUCCGGGCGUUAUGCAGAUCGGCUGGGCUACUAAGAGCAGUCAUUUCCUCAACCAUGAGGGGUAUGGCAUCGGGGACGAUUUGUAUUCGCUAUCGUAUGACGGUUGCCGUAAGUUGAUAUGGCACGAGGCCAAGCCUUCGCCCGUCAAAGAUGUGGAUGUUUGGCAGCCGGGAGAUAUCAUCGGCUGCCUCAUAGACAUGAAUGAGGAAGAAGCGAUAUUCUCGCUCAAUGGACAACGAAUUCGUACUUGCACGAAUCUGUUUCGAGCUGCGCGUGUAAACCAAAUUGAUUUGACCAGAAACGGGUUCUUUGCUGCGGCUUCGUUUAUGGCUUUCCAACAAUGCCGAUUCAAUUUUGGAACUGAGCCGUUCAGGUUUCCGCCGACUGACCGAGCGUUUGGCAACUUCAACGAAUUUGGAGUACUCACUAAUGAUCAAAAACGGGUGGUGCCUCGUCGCUUAGAACUUGAGAAGCUGCGCAGCACGACUGCGAAGGAGAACUCGUGCACGCUAUGUUAUGAUGCUGACGCAUGCUGCGUGCUCGAACCCUGCAAGCACCGCGGGUUCUGCUCACUGUGCACAUCUCAGCUGAAGGAGUGCCCGAUGUGCCGCGCCGCGAUCGUGAACGUCACAACGGAGAACACGUGACAAGAGGACUCCUCGCUCUCGACGAUCAGCGAGCUCAACAGCCCCAACAUCACCUUCGAAGAGUCCCCCUCCCCGCCCUUCAACCGCCGCGUCCCCCAUCCCCUCACCCCCAACGGCUCCUCCACGACUACCAGCUCCUCCUCCACCUGGUCCCCAAUGAACCCCAACUUUCCCGAAGACGAACCCCGCGAUAUUAUCGCCUAUGUAAUACACGAAUCACGCAAGAAUAAGUCUCCGUGAACCGACAUCAACUCAAAUAUAAUAUUUUUCUUAAAUAAUGUGUUUAAUUAUAUGUGUAAUUUCUUCGUAGGAAUACGUACUGUUACCUUGUAGAUAAGAUUUUCCGAAAUCCAGCCAGUAGCAAAAAUACUAUAUCGUCACCGAUCCAUGUGUGUUGUCGUUUCCAUGCUGUCCCAAAUAUACAGUAUAUUUCAUCCAUACAUUCCUUAAACAAUAUAGAUGUUGUGAUUUUAUGACAUUAAACCAAUUGUUGUCUAUUUAAACCACCUAGGUGUUAAGAUUACUUGUCGAAAGUGUCAAGUUAAGCGCACAGUUACCAUCUAGAGGGUUUGUGAGUAAAGCACGAAGGUAAUUAAUACUUAUUAGUGAAAUAAAUAUAUGUAUAUUCAAAUAUUGUUAUUAGACUAGGAACUAUAUAAAUUCAUCAAUUUCGAUCCCAGGUGAGGCCUUUCAUAGUUUUAAAAUGGAACUAUGGAGACUGCAAAGCGACCACUUUAUGAUACUCGGCUUAGGAAAGAUUCAAUGGUGCGAUAAAAAAUCGAAUUUAGUAAGUAAAAUGAUGUAAGGAUAACCUGUGAAUGGUCUUACCAUUUAAAUUACAAUCUAUUAAAAUUCGACUACCUACUAUGUUUUGUUGAUAAGACUAUUUAUUUAGAAGUUUCUUUUGUUUGUAAUAGAAUUAAGAAAAUUAGGAACUUUACUCAUUGCCAACGGAGAAUUAGGUACUUAUUCAUCAAAUAUUAAAUCAUUUUCUUCACUUGUAUGUUUGCACCAAAGCUCUAUAUGAUAGCUUAAUUUCUUUUUAGUAACUUAUUGAGUAGGUAAAGUUAAUUGAAAGACGGUAUUAUUUUCGAUGCAAAAAUUUAUUAAUUGUAGGACUAGGAUUAAGUAUGAUUUUUCACUUAACUGUAGAUUCGUGCCAAAAUUUUGAACUUAGGAUUUAACUGCGAAAGAUGUAUUUAUGAUCUUAGUGCAACGUUUAUUCUCCUAACUUAAAAAAUAUCUAAGCGAAGUAAUAUUUAUGCUGCUUUUAAAUAAAAUUAUUAUAACAAACACGGCAAUGAGAAUGCCAGUGAAAAGCUUUGUCGUCUAGAGAAACAUCACAUCCCACGUUCAAACAAAAAAAUUAGCUCCUGUGGAUGAAAUAUCGACAAAGAGACAAUCUUUCUCUUUGUCGAUAUUUCAUCCACAGAGAUAGAUUUAUUCGUUUAAAAUUACUACAACAAACUUUCUGAAAAAAAGAUAGGAACAUAACAUAAAUUACUUAUAUCAAUUAAAAACAAACGAAUUUAAAAACUAUUUAGGAACUGUCUCACAGUUGACGUUCAAGUUAGAUAAGUAGGCGGUUGAUUAUUACCUAUUUACAUUUAGAAUAAGGUAGAUGCCAGUAACCAAAAUUCAUUGAACACCUACAAUAUCUUAGGGAGCCAAAACUCCGUGAAACCUUUGCAGGGUUAUUUUUGACGUAAUGGCCUAUAAUAUAGUAGAUCCUAAGGUGAAACCUAGUCACUUGUACAGUAAAUAAUAAGAUGGCCAAAUUAAUUAGUACCUACAAUAUUAACAUUUAAUGGGAUAGCAUCUUCUCAAGAACUUAAAUAAAUACUUAUGGUAACUGCUAAUAAAAACCGCUUACUUAGAAUAUAUAAAAAAAAAACAUGCGUCUUUAAUUUUGCUAAAAGUUAAUAUUUCGAAUAUAACGUUCAAAAUAUUUGAGGAAUCAUGUGAAAAAUGCUACAAAACCUAGUCUCGAAAUUGCGUUUUAAUUUUACAUAUUAUAAGUAAAGAAAAUGAUCUCUCGUAGUAGAAUGAUUGUGUAAUAGGUACUAAUCACGACUAUCCCUAGCUUAAUUCUGAGAAUAUCAUACCUAUUUCAUUAAAUCCACAGGACAUUUAACAAUAGGAUUCGAAUUGUACUGAGACGAGUAAGAUUAGUUCAUCCAAAUUUAUAUAGGUACCUUCUACCUAUAUCACAAAAUUAUUGCUGAAAUUUACCUAGAUGAUUAUUAAACAUACUUAGAUCAUUUAAUAUAAGAAGCCGUUAUUUACUUAUUUCAAAACUGUAGUUGUAGGAGAAAAUCACUCAACUAUUACACAUUAUUUAUUAUUAAAUUCAGCUUUUUGUCAAGGCAAGGCAAUGGGGUUGCUUGUUUAACUUUGUAUUUUAGAAUUUGUUGAAUUUUAGAUGAAUAGAUUGCCUAGAAUUACUGCCGUGGUGGCACCGGCCACUCACUGUGCAUUUAUUGAAGGAUGAUUUAACUUUUCUUGCAUUGAACGACAUAUGAACGACAAACGUACAACGAUAAUUUAUUCAACAUUUUUGUAGCUGUUGCUAAUUUAAACCCCAGAGUCUUUCCACUAUACACGAUCCAUGUUUUACAGCUUUAGAUUAAUUGUCUAGCUAUUAAAAAUUAGGCGAUUUCGCAUAAUUCUGAUUGUCAUUAUUGCAGUAGAUUGUGAUUUCCAACACUCGUUAGUCACAAAUAAAUGUUCAAUGAAA
rnacentral:misc_RNA from 1 species